GGGUCGAUGCCCGAGUGGUUAAUGGGGGAGGAUUGUAAAUCCUUUGGCUUCGCCUACGCUGGUUCAAAUCCAGCUCGGCCCA
rnacentral:tRNA from 1 species